ensembl:snRNA U6 U6 spliceosomal RNA
GUGCUUGCUUUGGCAGCACACAUACUAAAAUUGGAACGAUACAGAGAACAUUAGCAUGGCCCCAGGGCAAGGAUGACAUGCAGAUUCAUGAAGUGUUCCAUAUUUUU